GUCCCUUCCUGUGCCUCGGGCUGGGCUGGCCAGGCAAAAGUACCAGAAGGUCAGGCUUCAUGAUCAAGGGCACCUCCUCCCAAGGCAAGUCUCUGUCCCCUGGAGAAGGAAGUGGACCAUUGAGAUCCAAGGUGCCCCUUCCAGGCUCUAGACCUAGAAGAGGGGCCCGGGUGCCA